rnacentral:RNase_P_RNA from 1 species
UAAUGUAGAGGAAAGUCCAUGCUCGCAAAGUCUGAGAUGACUUUAGUGUUCACGCUAAGGGAAAAAAUAACCUUAGGUAGCUAUGCUAACGGCUUUGAAAUAACCUUAAAUGGUUAAAGUAGAUAUAAAAGUGCCAAAGAGACGAGCUUUUCUGGAAACGGAAAAGGUGGAACGAGGUAAACCCCGUGAGCGAGAAACCCAAAUUAUGGUAGGGGAGUUUUUUAAAGCAAAAUGAAGCUUUAAAAGAUGCUAUUAAGCAAGAUAAAUGUUUGCCACCGCAAGGUACAAAACAUGGCUUAUU